rnacentral:rRNA from 1 species
GGUCAAGCGAAUAAGCGCACACGGUGGAUGCCUUGGCGGUCAGAGGCGAUGAAGGACGUGGCAGCCUGCGAAAAGUAUCGGGGAGCUGGCAACAAGCUUUGAUCCGGUAAUGUCCGAAUGGGGAAACCCACCCGCUUGCGGGUAUCCUGCAGUGAAUACAUAGCUGCUGGAAGCGAACCUGGUGAACUGAAAUAUCUAAGUAACCAGAGGAAAAGAAAUCAACCGAGAUUCCGUAAGUAGCGACGAGCGAACGCGGACUAGCCCUUAAGCUGAUUUGGUUCUAGGAAAACACUCUGGAAAGAGUGGCCAUAGAAGGUGAUAGCCCUGUAUCUGAAAGGGCCAUUUCAGUGAAGACGAGUAGGGCGGGGCACGUGAAACCCUGUCUGAACAUGGGGGGACCAUCCUCCAAGGCUAAAUACUACUGACCGACCGAUAGUGAACCAGUACCGUGAGGGAAAGGCGAAAAGAACCCCGGAGAGGGGAGUGAAAUAGAACCUGAAACCGUGUGCGUACAAGCAGUAGGAGCUCCGCAAGGAGUGACUGCGUACCUUUUGUAUAAUGGGUCAGCGACUUACUGUUCGUGGCAAGCUUAACCGUAUAGGGGAGGCGAAGGGAAACCGAGUCUGAUAAGGGCGCAUAGUCGCGGGCAGUAGACCCGAAACCGGGUGAUCUAGUCAUGCCCAGGGUGAAGGUGCGGUAACACGCACUGGAGGCCCGAACCCACUCCCGUUGCAAAGGUAGGGGAUGAGGUGUGAUUAGGAGUGAAAAGCUAAUCGAACCCGGAGAUAGCUGGUUCUCCUCGAAAGCUAUUUAGGUAGCGCCUCAUAUGUAUCCUCUCGGGGGUAGAGCACUGUUAUGGCUAGGGGGUCAUCGCGACUUACCAAACCAUUGCAAACUCCGAAUACCGAGACGGACUGUAUGGGAGACACACGGCGGGUGCUAACGUCCGUCGUGAAAAGGGAAACAACCCAGACCCACAGCUAAGGUCCCAAAUUUUGUGCUAAGUGGAAAACCAUGUGGAAAGGCACAGACAGCCAGGAGGUUGGCUUAGAAGCAGCCACCCUUUAAAGAAAGCGUAAUAGCUCACUGGUCGAGUCGGUCUGCGGGGAAGAUUUAACGGGGCUAAGCACAGAACCGAAGCUUGGGGUGCAUACUUUGUAUGCGCGGUAGAGGAGCGUUCCGUAAGCCGUUGAAGGUGGAUUGAGAAGUCUGCUGGAGGUAUCGGAAGUGCGAAUGCUGACAUGAGUAACGAUAAUGCGGGUGAAAAACCCGCACGCCGAAAGCCCAAGGUUUCCUUGCGCAACGUUAAUCGGCGCAGGGUGAGUCGGCCCCUAAGGCGAGGACGAAAGUCGUAGUCGAUGGGAAGCAGGUUAAUAUUCCUGCACCUCGCGUAAGUGCGAUGGAGGGACGGAGAAGGUUAGGUGUACCAGGCGUUGGUUGUCCUGGGGAAAGGCGGUAGGUUUGGAUCUUUGGCAAAUCCGGGAUCCU